ACGAACGCUGGCGGCGUGCUUAACACAUGCCGGUCGAACGGUGAAGCGCCUUCCUUUUUGGUGGGUGUGGAUGAGUGGCGAACGGGUGAGUAACACGUGAGUAACCUGCCCCCUUCUUCUGGAUAACCGCAUGAAAGUGUGGCUAAUACGGGAUAUUCUGGGUCUGUCGCAUGAUGGGUCUGGGAAAGAUAUUGUUUCGGUGGGGGAUGGGCUCGCGGCCUAUCAGCUUGUUGGUGGGGUGAUGGCCUACCAAGGCGGUGACGGGUAGCCGGCCUGAGAGGGUGGACGGUCACACUGGGACUGAGACACGGCCCAGACUCCUACGGGAGGCAGCAGUGGGGAAUAUUGCACAAUGGGCGCAAGCCUGAUGCAGCGACGCCGCGUGAGGGAUGGAGGCCUUCGGGUUGUGAACCUCUUUCGCCAGUGAAGCAGGCCUGCCUCGUUUGUGGGUGGGUUGACGGUAGCUGGAUAAGAAGCGCCGGCUAACUACGUG
rnacentral:rRNA from 1 species